rnacentral:rRNA from 1 species
UACGUAGGGUGCAAGCGUUGUCCGGAAUUAUUGGGCGUAAAGAGCUCGUAGGUGGCCUGUCGCGUCGGCUGUGAAAACUCGGGGCUCAACUCCGAGCUUGCAGUCGAUACGGGCAGGCUAGAGUUCGGCAGGGGAGACUGGAAUUCCUGGUGUAGCGGUGAAAUGCGCAGAUAUCAGGAGGAACACCGGUGGCGAAGGCGGUUCUCUGGGCAUGUCCUGACGCUGAGGAGCGAAAGUGUGGGGAGCGAACAGGA